rnacentral:lncRNA from 1 species
AGGAAACCCAGCUAGAUAAAGCCUAAAACAACAACAAUAACAAAAAAAACAGUAAUAUAAAGAGCCACGUGGUAUCAUUAACCGGAAGUGUGGACAAAUUAUAAAGCCAUUAGCCACCUCUGCCAUUGCAACUGUGCUUGCAGGUGCCCUAGAUGCUUCUGGCUCCUGCUGGAUUAGAGCUGUAACUUAAGCUGAGGGUUUCCAAAUAGCAAGAUUAGAUAUUCAGAGGAUGUUUACCUCCUGUGAUGUCUGGUUCAAGCACUUCAUUGCAGGCGUUCUACGAUUAUCCAAGACAAGUGGAGGCUUCCAGCGAUCGUAGUUUGUUUCUAUCACGUACCACGUGCCUUUCUUUAUAUCGAGGUCCCAUAUAUCCAGAGCAGCUGUCCUGGAGCGAGUUAUCACACAGCCUUCUCCAGAAUUUUUUCCCCCGAGUAUAAAGUAAGCCGGAGCCAGCAGUCUUGUUUUUGCCAGUUUGUCUUUUGCAUCUUGGUAACUCGUAGCAUUCUCUAGUACUGAUCUUGUAAGAAAGCCCAUCCACAUACCAUCUCUUCUACCAAGAAACCAUUCAAAGAUACCAAUAUAACCACCAUCAAGACUGAAACGCUCAUUCAUUGUCAGAGUGAACAAAUCUGGUUUGACACCUGACACCAUUCCUAUGUAUCCUGCAAAGUUUGUAGACCUAAACACUGUUUUGUUGUUUCUCUGGAAGUCCAAGUUUACCACCGUAGGCUUCAGUUCCCGAGUUACAGUCCAGGAAUUAUUUUUAACAUCCCACCCAAGGAAGAGUCCAAAAUCCAAGUUUCUGGCAUGAUACAGCUUUCCUCUGCUAUCUUCUGCCACUAUGGAUGUGCACACAGUAAAAAUUUCAUAGAAGAUGUUAAAAAUAACAAUCUCCCCUAGAAUAAAAGAAAAAAUAAAUUAAUUUGAAACUUUUGCCAAGAUCAGGAAAAAAAAUAAGAACAAAAUUCUACUGCAAAGUUCAGUAUUCUGUAGCAUUUCUAUUAAGAGACGGUUUUAAUCCUGUUUGAUGUUUGAAAUGACCAGUUUAGCAAAAGCAGGAACUUCCUGAAAGGCCUUCUGCCCUACUAUACAGAAAGCGGACAGCUACUUCCCC